GCGCCAUUAGCUCAGCUGGAUAGAGCGUUGGUCUACGGAACCAAAGGUCGAGAGUUCGAAUCCCCCAUGGCGCACCA
rnacentral:tRNA from 1 species